AUAGUUCAUGACUCCAAAACAAAUAAAUAGAAAAAUAAAAAUUACAGGAAAUUUGAAAUACAGACAAUUUGUAAUAUAGUCUCCUAUUCAGAGUUGCCUCUAAAUUAAAAACAAACAAAAAAAGCAAUACCAACAAAAAACAAAAGCCCAGAGUUUCUCAUAUUUGGUAAAUUUCACAAAACCUACAGGCCAAGCAACUUUGUUUACUCUCACACUCCAACCUUUCCAUUUUGUUUUGUUUUUAGCCAUUGUUAUAAAACCAAGGAGACAGCUAGUAUAAACCUGGGCGCUCUCUUUUCUAAAAACAGACAAUACGUACAUCCUAGGCAGAUAAAAAAAGUCUUUUUCUUCCACAUCCAGGCCAUUGUUACUGCUGAGAAAUGUUUUCCGAGUUCCUGUCUGCUGCAGAUUGCCAUGCCCUGACCAUUUGUGUCUCCCAGAACACCAGCUUAUUUGGCAGGGGGACAACUCAAACUGAGUCACUGAUGGCCACAGCUGCUCUAGCAAGGAGCUCAGCCUCACCAAGCUUGUAGUUAGCUCAGGGCUUUGAGCGCCUGGCAGAUCUCCCUUGUUACAGUCUUCCCUUCCUUUCAGCCGACCUUCUACCAUGCCGGGACCUAGGUCAUUAGAUCAUCUCCUGUCUCAGUUUGUCUCCCGAGGACUGAAGCCUUGCCCCUUUGCUGGGGUAAAGUUGCCCUGUUUUGCUUUUAGCCAGAGACCUGCCUUCCUAGUUGUCUUCCAGCAGUCCCCAACUGGCUGGGACUCUGCUUAGAGUAACUCAAUUGCCCAAGAACUUUUCUAAGGUGUUAGUAUACCACCUAGACUAUCCCACAUUCUGGCUGCUUAAUUUGCUCUCCAAGGAUCCUAUAAUUGCACGAAGCCGGUUUGUCCAGCCAGGUAAGACUCCUUGUGGUAACCUAUCACCUGAUCCUGGACCCACCCUCUUCCCAACAGAGGAUGUUGACAUGGCAGCAAUUAAUGCUAAUUAAGAGCUUGUCAAGAACUGUCUUGGGUACUUGAUGUACUUAAAUUUCUUUAAUUAUGACUACAAUGCAAGGAGAAACUGAAGUUAAAAAAGAAGUACAUUAGAUUGCUCAAGCUCACCCAAAUAGCCAGGAUUUGUCCAUAGACUUGGGAUGCCAAGUAAAUACUCCUAAGCACAGGCCAAGGACUCUCCAUGCUCACUUUGCUUCUGCAGCAUUCUUAUACACAGCACAGUUGUUGAGGGGUGUUUCCUUCCGGGCUGUGAUGAAUACCAGCCGUGCUGCUUCCCAGAAGGCCUUGGGUUUGGACAAAGGCUCUGUAUACCACCCAUUAGAAAAGAGUUUGCUAUCUCUGCCUCUCACAUUAUUCUACUUGACUGGAUUUAAUAUUGUCUUAGUUGCUUUCCUCUUGCUAUGUAUGGUAAAACAUCUGACCCAAAGCAGCCUGGAGGACUGGGUUAUUUUGCUUUUAUUUCCAGGUCAUAAUCUGGUGUUGAGGGAAUUCAAGGCAGGGAACCUAGAGACAGGGACCAUAGAGGAUUAUCACUAACUGACUCUCUCACUGACUCACUCACUUAACUUUCUCAUGAAGCCGAGGCCAAUCUGCCUGAGGAUGGUGCCGCCCACAGUGGGAAGUUCCUCUCACAUCAGUCAUUAAUCAAGACAGUCUCUCACAGACAUGGCCACAGAACGAACUGAUUGAGGCAAUUCUGUGAUCCAGGUUCCCUCUUCUCAGGUCGCAUCAAGUAGACAGUGAAAACUAACCAGGACAACUGCCAACAGAAAUGCUUUAUUGGCAACUAUCAAAUGCUAUCUUUUUAGUGCAGUCAUUUUUGUCAGACUUGUGAAACCCCAAACCUCGAGGUUGUGGAUCAAAACCUUCUAUUUCAGUACUGAGAACUAAAGUUAGAGAAGCCAUCUCUUUUAUGUUUUACAAAGAAUUAAUGGCAGAACUACCUUAUCAGUGACUUGUUCUAUUGUUAUCAUGAAAUAUAUAUGAUAAAAGCAGUUUAAGAAAAGGUUUGUUUUUGCUUUGGCUCAUGGUUUCGGGGUAUAGUCAUCGUGGAGGGGCGGGAUGUGGUAAGAUGGGGGUGGAGGUCAUGACUUCGGAACUUUAAAACAGUUGUUUACGUUGUACCUACAGUCAGAGGCAGAGAGAGAUGAAUGUUUGCAGUCAGGACUCCAGCCCAUGGAAUGGUGUUAUCCACAUCCAAGGAGCACAGAAAAAUGAGCAAAGGACUAAGAUCACCUUUAGGACUUCAUUUACUGUAUACCAGGGCUCCCCAGAGAAGCUCGACUGUGGACUGAUUUACUCCCUCAGCCAGCCUAGGAAGCCCAUGCCUUGUCAUUCUCACUUCCCAGGAAAGAAGAUGAGGAGCCAGAGAGGGCGAACGACGGGUCCAAGACUACACAGAGCCAGGAGCUGGAUGAAAUUGUCUAUGUUCAGGCUCCACACCCAAACACUUACUCCAGAUUAGCCUUACUAGGAAAUCGGCACAGGGCGUUUGAAGGUGCUCAGAAACACAGGAUGACCUGAAACCUUUUUGUCUCAGAAGAACAAACACCCAGCAGUCACUCAGCUCAUGAGCCAAGCUUGCCACUGACUGUGAAGCUUGGUGGCCCUCCAUGAACUGUUCAGGGUGGGUCACUUUGCCACUCUCGGAGUGCUUUGUAACCAUUUAUAUUCCUGAAUUUAAACCUUCGAGCACAAAAGGUGCAGAGAAACAUGGGAAAGGAAUCAAUUAAAACUAACAAUAAACUUUGGCAAUUUUCAA